rnacentral:rRNA from 1 species
GACGAACGCUGGCGGCGUGCCUAAUACAUGCAAGUAGAACGCUGAAUGUAGGAGCUUGCUCUCUCCGGAUGAGUUGCGGAGGGGUGAGUAACGCGUAAGUAACCUGCCUGGUAGCGGGGGAUAACUAUUGGAAACGAUAGCUAAUACCGCAUAACAGUAGAUGUUUCAUUAUAUCUACUUAAAAGGUGCAAUUGUACCACUACCAGACGGACCUACGUUGUAUUAGCUAGUUGGUGAGGUAACGGCUUAACAAGGCGACGAUCCAUAGCCGACCUGAGAGGGUGAUCGGCCACACUGGGACUGAGACACGGCCCAGACUCCUACGGGAGGCAGCAGUAGGGAAUCUUCGGCAAUGGACGGAAGUCUGACCGAGCAACGCCGCGUGAGUGAAGAAGGUUUUCGGAUCGUAAAGCUCUGUUGUAAGAGAAGAACGAGUGUGAGAGUGGAAAGUUCACACUGUGACGGUAUCUUACCAGAAAGGGACGGCUAACUACGUG